rnacentral:rRNA from 1 species
CUACGUGCCAGCAGCCGCGGUAAUACGUAGGGGGCAAGCGUUAUCCGGAUUUACUGGGUGUAAAGGGAGCGUAGACGGGAGUGCAAGUCUGGAGUGAAAGGCAGGGGCUCAACCCCUGGACUGCUUUGGAAACUGUAGUCCUAGAGUGCCGGAGAGGUAAGCGGAAUUCCUAGUGUAGCGGUGAAAUGCGUAGAUAUUAGGAGGAACACCAGUGGCGAAGGCGGCUUACUGGACGGUAACUGACGUUGAGGCUCGAAAGCGUGGGGAGCA